ACAUCAGCAUGAUGCUGCCACCACUAUGCUUCACUGUGGGGAUGGUAUUCUUGGGGUGAUGAGAGGUGUUGGGUUUGCGCCAGACAUAGCGUUUUUCUUGAUGGCCAAAAAGCCCAAUUUGAGUCUCAUCUGACCAGAGUACCUUCUUCCAUAUGUUUUGGGAGUUUCCCACAUGCCCUUUUGUGAACACCAAACAUGAUUGCUUACUUUUUUCUUUAAGAAAUUGUUUUUUUUCUGGCCACUCUUCCAUAAAGCCCAGCUCUGGGGAUUGCACGGCUUAAAGUGGUCCUACGGACAGAUACUCCAAUCUCCGCUGUGGAGCUCUUCACCUCCUUCAGGGUUAUCUUUGGUCUCUUUAUUGCCUCUCUGAUUAAUGUCCUCCUUGCCUGGUCCGCGAGUUUUGGUGGGCGGCCCUCUCUUGGCAGAUUUGUUGUGGUUCCAUAUUCUUAACAUUUUUUAAUAAUAAUAAUAAUAAUGGGAUGUUCAAAGUUUCUGAUAUUUUUUAUAACCCAACCCUGACCUGUACUUCUCCACAACUUUGUCCCUGACCUGUUGGGAGAGCUCCUUUGUCUUCAUGGUGUCGCUUGCUUGGUGGUGUUGCAGACUCUGGGGCCUUUCAGAACAGGUGUAUAUAUAUACUGAGAUCAUGUUACACUUAAAUAAAGUCUACCUGUGUAUAAUCUAACUAAUUAUGUGACUUCUGAAGGUAAUUGGUUGCACCAGAUCUUAUUUAAGGGCUUCAUAGCAAAGGGGGUGAACACAUAUGCACACACCACUAUUCAGUUUUUUAAAAAAAAUGUUGAAAUAAUUUAUUGAAAUAAAUAUAUUUUUUAAUUUCACUUCACCAAUUUGGACUAUUUUGUGUACAUUACAUGAAAUAAAAAUAAAAAUCAAUUUAAAUUACAGGUUGUAAUGCAACAAAAUAGGAAAAAUGCCAUGGGGGGGGUGAAUACUUUACGCUGUACCAUGAGACUGAGGACCAACAGUUUAUAUAUUAAACUCCUGGAUACCGUGAUGUCAUCCAGAGGAAUGAAUGGUAUUCACCAGUAGUUCAGUUUAAAUGUUUAUAUAUUAAACUCCUGGAUACCGUGAUGUCAUCCAGAGGAAUGAAUGGUAUUCACCAGUAGUUCAGUUUAAAUGUUUAUAUAUUAAACUCCUGGAUACCGUGAUGUCAUCCAGAGGAAUGAAUGGUAUUCACCAGUAGUUCAGUUAAAUGUUUAUAUAUUAAACUCCUGGAUACCGUGAUGUCAUCCAGAGGAAUGAAUGGUAUUCACCAGUAGUUCAGUUUAAAUGUUUAUAUAUUAAACUCCUGGAUACCGUGAUGUCAUCCAGAGGAAUGAAUGGUAUUCACCAGUAGUUCAUUUAAAUGUUGAUAUAUUAAACUCCUGGAUACCGUGAUGUCAUCCAGAGGAAUGAAUGGUAUUCACCAGUAGUUCAGUUUAAAUGUUUAUAUAUUAAACUCCUGGAUACCGUGAUGUCAUCCAGAGGAAUGAAUGGUAUUCACCAGUAGUUCAGUUUAAAUGUUUAUAUAUUAAACUCCUGGAUACCGUGAUGUCAUCCAGAGGAAUGAAUGGUAUUCACCGGUAGUUCAUUUAAAUGUUUAUAUAUUAAACUCCUGGAUACCGUGAUGUCAUCCAGAGGAAUGAAUGGUAUUCACCGGUAGUUCAGUUUAAAUGUUUAUAUAUUAAACUCCUGGAUACCGUGAUGUCAUCCAGAGGAAUGAAUGGUAUUCACCAGUAGUUCAGUUUAAAUGUUUAUAUAUUAAACUCCUGGAUACCGUGAUGUCAUCCAGAGGAAUGAAUGGUAUUCAACAGUAGUUCAGUUUAAAUGUUUAUAUAUUAAACUCCUGGAUACCGUGAUGUCAUCCAGAGGAAUGAAUGGUAUUCACCAGUAGUUCAGUUAAAUGUUUAUAUAUUAAACUCCUGGAUACCGUGAUGUCAUCCAGAGGAAUGAAUGGUAUUCACCGGUAGUUCAGUUUAAAUGUUUAUAUAUUAAACUCCUGGAUACCGUGAUGUCAUCCAGAGGAAUGAAUGGGUAUUCACCAGUAGUUCAGUUAAAUGUUUAUAUAUUAAACUCCUGGAUACCGUGAUGUCAUCCAGAGGAAUGAAUGGUAUUCACCAGUAGUUCAGUUUAAAUGUUUAUAUAUUAAACUCCUGGAUACCGUGAUGUCAUCCAGAGGAAUGAAUAGUAUUCAACAGUAGUUCAGUUAAAUGUUUAUAUAUUAAACUCCUGGAUACCGUGAUGUCAUCCAGAGGAAUGAAUGGUAUUCACCAGUAGUUCAGUUAAAUGUUUCCAAGGACAUAAUUACAUGUAUUUAACAGAAUUACAUGUAUUUAGCAGAAUUACAUGUAUUUAACAGAAUUACAUGUAUUUAACAGAAUUACAUGUAUUUAACAGAAUUACAUGUAUUUAGCAGAAUUACAUGUAUUUAACAGAAUUACAUGUAUUUAACAGAAUUACAUGUAUUUAGCAGAAUUACAUGUAUUUAAGUAUUUUGCUCGUGGGGAAAGUAACAUUAGUACUUAAAAAAAACAAUACUUUAAACAUUUUAAUAUUUUUUAUUAUUUUUAUGUUAUAAGCUCACAUACUAUACAUUGAAAAUAUGAAGUAUUAAGGUGUAUAAGAGAAUAAACGUGUUUUAAUUAAUAUUAACAUUAAUAAAUGAAUUUCCACAGCUUCCUAAAUGUUUUUUACAAGAUGACAGAGUGGCCUUUCCUACCCAGGUCUG